ACUGUUAUGAGAUAAUCGGCCAAAAAAAAGAUUCUAAUUUGAACCUUUAAAAACCCUCAACACUUUCUUCUUUCAAAAUAUCCAGAACCUGGUAGAGAAGAGAAAGUAAGGGAGAAGAGAAGCAGAGUAGAAAUAUAUCAGCCGGUAGAAGAAGAAGAAGAUUCAUAAGCACAUAAAUGGGAAAAACUGACCCAUAAAAGAAAAAGAAAAAAGAAUGAAAAGACUCACUUCUCUUAUUCGUUUGCCCUCCAAAAUUGAAAUCUGAUGAUUUGAAAUGCCAUCUUCUCUUUAUUUUUUCUCAAAUUUCGUGCCAUUUUCCACUUAAACUUCGGCUACAUUUAUAGCUGAAAUCAUUGACAAACUCGAACACGACAUCUUCUUUUCUUCACGGUGCUCUUCAUCUCGAGCACGCCAUCUUUCUGCCUCCCGCCUCACCUUAUAAAGAUGAAGAAAAUCUAUCUCCUCCAUCAUUUCAGUUUCUCCUCUUACCGUUUCCCUCCAAGCCCCAACAUGAAAUCUGAUAAUUUGAAACACCAAAAAGAAUAACCCCCAACACCCCCUAGCCAUUUUUCUUCAAUGAUCUUGACACUCUAAACUUCCACCAUUAAGACCUUCAUUUUCUACACCCGACGAUGCCAAUCGCUUUUCUCAACAUCCUUCGAUCUUCUCCUCUUGGUUCCCCUCAAAACUUCAGUUCAAAGUCGUUUGGUUGCCCAAGGGAUUAGAUUUGAUGGGUCAAUUUAAACUGGAGAAAGAUGGGGAACGGUGAUGUGGUUCUGGAGAAAAGGUUACGCGGUACCUUGCCUGCGACAUUUGCGCCCGAGAGCGGGCCUGAUAACAUCAAGGAAGCUUGGGGGAGUUGAAGCUCAAUCCUCCAUUUUCUCAUGAGAUUUCAGUUAGGGAUAGGGUUGAUCUGAGUGAUGAGAGCAUGUUCGUUGUCCAGAGAGCGAAGAUUUCCUGUAGAACCUUGAAGAUGACUUUGAUCUCCUCACCAAGACGAAGGCCAAUAAUAUCGUGCAGCCACUUGUGGAGGCUCAAUUGCCUUUUUAUGGACGGCAAUUUAACAAUCAAUUUUCUUUCUAUGCACGACAAUUUAACAGAGAAUGGUGGGAAAUGUAUCAUUUUUUUGGGAGUUAGAGAAAAGGAAGAAUAUUUCCUUUCCAUGGGGGCGCGAACAUGAAGAAAAUGACUAUUAGACUUGCAAAAGAAGUUGACAUGACAACUCUUGUGAACAUGACUGAUGAGGAUCUCAAGGCCUUACGAAUACUGACGCUCUUCAUCUUGAACACACCAUCUCCUGCUUCCCGCCUCAUAUGCUCAUUGCUACGUUUUAAAGAUGAAGAAAAUCUAACCCCCUUCCGUCAUUCACUUUCUCUUCUCUUAUCCAUUCCCCUCCAAGCCCCAACAUGAAAUCUGAUAAUUUGAAACACCAAAAAGAACACCCCCGCAGGCCCAUGGAUCAUUACAAUCUUCAAUUUCUACACUCCACGAUGGCAAUCACAUUUCUCAACAACCUUCGCUUUUCUCCUUGGUUCCCCUCAAAACCUCAAUCCAAAGGGAUUAGAUUUGAUGGGUCAAUAGUGGAUAUGUUUCAACUGGGAAAGAUGGAGAACGGUGAUGUGGUUGUGGAGACAAGCAUUACGCGUACUUUGCCUGCAGCAUUGACGUUUUGGUGCGGGCUUGAGAGCAUCAAGGAAGCUUUGGAGGAGUUGAAGCUCAAUCCUCCAUCUUCUUCUCAUGGGAUCAUAAGAUUUCAGGAGAGAAAUAUCUCAGUUCUUGUUUUGUUGUUUCUUGGUGAGAUGGUUGUGGAGACAAGCAUUACGCGUACCUUGCCUGCAGCAUUGACGUUUUGGUGCGGGCUUGAGAGCAUCAAGGAAGCUUUGGAGGAGUUGAAGCUCAAUCCUCCAUCUUCUUCUCAUUGAAUUAUAAGAUUUCAGGUGCACCUCAUUAUGUUUAUAGAGUUCACUGUUAAUUUUUCUUUCUAUUUUUUGUAAAAUAUCUCCUUUUUGCUAUGUGGAUAUGU